GGUUUUGACUGUGUUAAAGAUGUGGUUUUGACUGUGUUAAAGAUGUGGUUUUGACUGUGUUAAAGAUGUGGUUUUGACUGUGUUAAAGAUUUGGUUUUGCAUUUUUCUAAGUACUUUACACCCCUCAGACCCCAUGGAGGAGGACAUUCUGCAGGUAGUCAAGUACUGCACUGAUCUGAUCAAUGACAAAGACCUAGAGAAACUUGACCUGAUCAUCAAGUACAUGAAGAGGUUGAUGCAGCAGUCUGUGGAGUCUGUAUGGAGCAUGGCCUUUGACUUCAUCCUGGACAACGUGCAGGUGGUAGUACAACAGACCUACGGCAGCACUCUGAAGAUCACGUAGGAGAGGGCAACACUCUGAAGAUCACGUAGGAGAGGGCAGCACUUUGAAAAUCACGUAGGAGAGGGCAACACUCUGAAGAUCACGUAGGAGAGGGCAGCACUCUGAAGAUCACGUAGGAGAGGGCAGCACUCUGAAGAUCACGUAGGAGAGGGCAGCACUCUGAAGAUCACGUAGGAGAGGGCAGCACUCUGAAGAUCACGUAGGAGAGGGCAACACUCUGAAGAUCACGUAGGAGAGGGCAACACUCUGAAGAUCACGUAGGAGAGAGCAACACUCUGAAGAUCACGUAGGAGAGGGCAGCACUCUGAAGAUCACGUAGGAGAGGGCAGCACUCUGAAAAUCACGUAGGAGAGGGCAACACUCUGAAGAUCACGUAGGAGAGGGCAACACUGAAAAUCACGUAGGAGAGGACAACACUUUGAAAAUCACGUAGGAGAGGGCAACACUCUGAAGAUCACGUAGGAGAGGGCAACACUCACGUAGGAGAGGACAACACUUUGAAGAUCACGUAGGAGAGGGCAACACUCUGAAGAUCACGUAGGAGAGGGCAGCACUCUGAAGAUCACAACACUCUGAAGAUCACGUAGGAGAGGGCAACACUCUGAAAAUCACGUAGGAGAGGGCAACACUCUGAAGAUCACGUAGGAGAGGGCAGCACUCUGAACAUCACGUAGGAGAGGGCAACACUGAAGAUCACGUAGGAGAGGGCAGCACUCUGAAGAUCACGUAGAAGAGGGCAACACUCUGAAGAUCACGUAGAGAGGGCAGCACUCUGAAAAUCACGUAGGAGAGGGCAACACUCUGAAGAUCACGUAGGAGAGGGCAACACUGAAGAUCACGUAGGAGAGGGCAACACUGAAGAUCACGUAGGAGAGGGCAACACUGAAGAUCACGUAGGAGAGGA